UUUAAAAGAAGAGGAAGAAGAGAUCCCACUUCAUUUUCUUUUUUUUUUUUCUUUCUUUCUUUCUUUCUUUCUG
rnacentral:ribozyme from 14 species